CUCCCUGUACUGUCCCUUCCUAGACUUUCUGCACUUCAUCAGUAUACGGGAGAGUUUGUAGCGGAAUACAGGGUGAGAUGAGGUCUUGAUCAUCGAUUGUCAGAUGAGUGAAGGUUGGUGUUGCUUGGUUUACAGUUUUCUGCAGGAAUUUCCUUAGGCAUGGGAGGACACAACAAAUGAGAAGAGCGAGAAUAAAAAGAAAAUU